GAGAUUAAAAAUUAGAACUCUAAAC
rnacentral:piRNA from 1 species